GUUUUUCCAACUAAUACUCUCCCACCUUUUAUUAUUUAUUUCCAUUCGUAGUGACACUAGGACCCCCAGAUGCCUCCAUAGCGUUGCUUAUGGCUUUGUAGUCCCGCAUGAGUAGCCACUGCCAUGCUUCUGCCAUGCUCUCCCCCAUGUCACCUCUGCAGCCACAGCGCUGUUCGGUCGUGUGCUGUCAGUGCUUCCAACAGGGGGUGUUUCAGCUCUUCCCUCUGCUCCAUUGCUUUCUCAUGACAAAGUUCAUCCUGCUUCCGUCUCAGCAAAGCCUGAUCUGUGACUCUGUGAUGUGUGCUUUUGGAUGUGAGUGUGUCUGUGUGUGUAUCCACCUUAGGGAGAAAACGGAUUUCAUAAUUUCAUUGAACAAAUUGGCCCAUUACAUUUGCUACCCUUUAUCAAACAAAAACCGAAAAUGUGUCAUUUGGACAAAGUGGUAGAAUUUAUUAUCUCAAAACUGAUAACGGGAAUGCUAUAACUAGACAUUGAUAAAACUUCUAAUCUUGGUUGAAAAAUAUGAUUUCACUUUGUAUUGCUCUUACUUUCCCUCAUAUAUUUAUUAAAGCUGUAAAAAGAUGACAGUGAUAAAUUCAAAUAAAAAUUUGAGUAUAGCAGGGAAAGGAUACUGCUGGAUCUGAGCAGUGCUUAGAUAUAAAAGCUUAUUUAUAAAGCUUUGAAAAAAAUCCCUAUUUGCCCAGUAUGCUAAUUUGGUGCCAUUUUGGUAAUAUAUGGUGGUUACUCAUGAUUCAAGUCAGUGAAUACACUUUCUGCUGGUUUUAAAUGACAGAUACUGAAAUAAAAAUAAACAUCAAACAAGAAAGUGCAGAUGUAAAUGUGAUUGGAAACAAGGAUGUCGUUACUGAAGAGGAUUUGGAUGUUUUUAAGCAGGCCCAGGAACUUUCUUGGGAGAAAAUAGAGUGUGAGAGUGGGGUGGAAGACUGUGGCCGGUACCCUUCUGUAAUUGAAUUUGGUAAAUAUGAAAUCCAAACCUGGUACUCCUCGCCUUACCCACAGGAAUAUGCAAGAUUACCAAAGCUUUACCUGUGUGAAUUCUGUCUUAAAUAUAUGAAAAGUAAAAAUAUUUUGCUAAGACACUCCAAGAAGUGUGGAUGGUUUCAUCCUCCAGCAAAUGAAAUUUACCGAAGGAAAGACCUUUCAGUAUUUGAGGUAAGCACGUGUAAAUAAAAAAUUCAGCUUUUUGAAAUCUAGUACUCCUAAUUGUUGACUACGUGCUGAUUUGUGUUUAGAAGGUGCAAAGUAUAUUUAAUUUUGGCACUAAAAUUCAGACUGCCCUUUAAAACAUCUCCAUGUUUUGGAAUGUUUAUCUAACCAUAUUAAGCAACCAUUUAGACUGAUGAAGAAUCCCUACUUCAUCACAUUAACAUUUUUGUUUUCCCCAAAAUCCCUGUCUACACUAGAUAUAUUCACCAGUGAAUUUAUGAUCUCCUCAGCUCUUUGUAAAUUCCACUUUCUUUGGCAGGAGAAAUGAGCUUUGUUCAGCAGCUCCAGCCAAUGUCUGGCAGGUGCUCACUCUUCCAGGGAAUUGAGCAGCUGUACAUAUCUCCUCAAUACACAACCACCUGUGUUUCCAUCCACUUCUUGGCAGGGUGGAUAAUCCUUUUGGUGAGACCCUAGCAGAUGUUGGGACUCCCUCCCAUCUGGGUAGAUGGCCACCCCUGAAGAACUCUGCUGUUCACAGGAACCCCUUGUGGCCAUAUGUCUGUCAUUGUGGGUUUCUUGAAGACAUUUUGUAUUUCCAGAAUUGAUUUAGUAGCAGGCCUUUGCCUCUAUAUAGUUGCAUUGUUUAAUUAUAUAUCUGUUGUCAGUUUCAGGGAUUCAGUUAAGCUGAGUCAGUUUCACCUUGAGGGGACCAGGCCUUUCUCCCAGGUUACUGUCUGUCUGCAGGGCUUUUCACGUUUCUCCUUUAUGCUCUUCCCUCCACUUGCACACUUCUGUUGUCUGCUGCAUUUUCUCCUCUGUGACCCAUCGUGGUGUGCAUUGGUGCUCAUUCCUGGGUGCUCAAAACAAGCCUACCUUGUACAGCAAACGUGAUGUCUUCUUUCUCUGGAAUAUAGUUUCACUUCUGGAUUUUCUUUUUCUGAAUUGUUCAGGCUGAAACUUAUUAUUCUGCCUUACAGUUCUCUUUAUUUCUGGCCUGCAGUGUCUUGCCAUCCUGUUAAAUAAAGGGAAGGUUGUAGGUUUUUCACAUGGACCAGGCUCCUUCUCAGACAGGUCUGGGCCCACUAGUUUUUCUCCAAGACUGAUCAGAGAACACAGGAAACUCCAGUUGUGUCUUAUGAUUUCUUUAAAGCUUUCUCUUUUCUAUCAGGCUCUUUCGGCAAGCUUGGAGGAAGAAGGGUAUUGUUGCUGGGAAGAUUAGGUAAUAUAUUAGUUCUUACUAAAGGUUAGGCAUAGGGUUUCUCAAUCUGGGCACUAUUGACAUUUCAAGCUGGUUAGUUCUUUGUUGUAGGGUCUAUGCUAUACAGUGUAGGAUGUUUAGCAGCAUCUCUGGCCUCUGCUAAUUGGAUGCCAGUAGCACCACCACCCCCUCCAGUUGUACCAACCAAAAAUGUCUCCAGACAUAGCCAAACAUCCCCUGGGGGGCAGAAUCACCCCCAGUAAGAACCAGUGGGCUAGAAGGAAGGCUGAAAACACGUUGCCUGGCCUUCCUGUUGAUAUGCUAUCCUGCCAGCCCCAGCCAGCUGAGGUGACAGAGCUGCUCAACAGUUGAAGCUUAGCUAAUGUCACAAGUUCAACUUUCCUAUUGGCUCCUUCCUUGAUGCCUUAGAUCUUUUCUUCCAACCAAAACAUUGUUUCUUAAAGCUCAAAACACAUUGUUGGCCUUAAGUAAUUAUUUAAUAAAUCAGCAUGAGUCAGCAUUGGGAUUGAAGCUCUCAUAAAUCCAUGGAACGUCUUCUCAGGGGCAAGGGAAUCAGUCUUGUUAGGAUGGUAAGAAUGGGCUGUUCUUUCAGGGCAGGUGCUUUUGGACCAUCCAGAGAUGAGAGGGGAGACAUCAGAAGCAUGUAUGUAAAAUUCACUUAUACGAAUAAGGAGUUGGAUUUGAUAAGUACGGAGGUCCCUAUUCUAGAAUCUGAGUUAAUAGAGUAUAACAUUUGGGCAACUUUUCUCCUAGCAGUUUCCUACAAAACUUAUAAAAUAAAGGAGGAAUAAUCACACAUUAUGAUUUUCCGGCCUUCCCUUUCUUUAUUCGUCUUACACCUUUCACAACCGAUCAGAAUUUUCUUCAGCACUGUCAUCUCUCUCUUUUUCUGGUUCACAGUUAUGUAUAUCUCCAUCUUUCCUUUUUGUAAUAUACUACCAUUUCCAAAAGGGCCAUACUCUCAAAUACAUGUAAACUUCCUUUAAUUAAAGGGAGAAUUGUAUCCUCUAUGCCCAUUGCCCAUAUUUCAUUGUGUUGCUAUGUAUGGGACCUAGGUUUCAUCCGAGGGAAAUAGUUAUAUGAAAUCUAAAAAUAAUUUGUGCAAGAUGAGAACCCGUAUGGUCCACAAGAGACCUGAGAAUGGUCAAGUUCAUUGUUUCAGAGCUCUGGUUAACAAAUAUCCAUUUCUCUUAAGAAAAGUGCUAGGGAAAUUCUUCUUGAAUCUGCUGUGUUUUCUAUUUUCAAAGAGUAACUACAUUUGAUCAAAGAAAUUGGCAUCUGUGCCUAGCCUCCUGUCUAUAGCCAUCAGUAUCACAGCUUGAUUCUUUUAUUUUGAAGAGAAGUAGACUGUAAUCAUAGUGCUUAUUGUAGGUUGAAAUUCGUAUCACUUUCUCUGUAAGUAUUCCCAACAUAGAUAUUUUAUCUUUUCCAAUUAUAUUUAAGAUGAUGCUUGGGAUAAAACCAAAAUGGAAACCUCUUUGCUAAUCCACACUUCGGAGGAAUCAGAAUAAUACAGUUCAUUUAUUUUAGUUUUAUGUGAAACCCUUUUGAAACAACAUAAAGUUUAACUUACUUGAGAAGUAUUUUGAUCUGUUUAUAUUUCCUUAAUACAGAUUUAUUUGGUUCAAAUAAAGAGAGAGGACAUGCCUGAUCAUUUUUAGCUCAGAAUAAACUACAAGUAAAAAUUACUCCUUUACUAGUGGUUUGGCCCUUCUUUGGUAGCAUAAAGAGAAAUUUUAACUACCUUAAAUGUACCCUAAUUUAAGAGAAAAUGUGGAAUUCUGAUUUGCCAGUGACAGCUGUUUUCUGGUUAAAGCUGUACUUGCUUAAUAGAGUGUUUUAAUCUCUCAGUUUAGGAUUUGGAAAUAAAAUGAUGUACUUUCUGAAAUACCAUAUAGGAGAAACAAUUUUAUAUGGUGCAGUAUUUUUAUGUUAAAUAAUGUUGUCUGUUUCUUUUUGCUAGGUUGAUGGGAAUAUGAGCAAAAUUUAUUGCCAAAACCUUUGCUUGUUAGCCAAGCUCUUCCUGGACCACAAAACGUUGUAUUAUGAUGUCGAGCCAUUCCUUUUUUAUGUCCUUACAAAAAAUGAUGAAAAGGGCUGUCAUCUGGUUGGAUACUUCUCUAAGGAAAAGCUUUGCCAGCAGAAGUAUAAUGUCUCCUGCAUAAUGAUCAUGCCCCAGCACCAAAGGCAAGGAUUUGGACGGUUUCUCAUUGAUUUCAGCUAUUUGCUUUCUAGAAGAGAAGGCCAAGCAGGUUCUCCUGAAAAGCCUCUCUCCGAUCUGGGCCGUCUCUCCUACCUGGCAUAUUGGAAGAGCGUCAUCUUGGAGUAUCUCUACCACCACCAUGAGAGGCACAUCAGCAUCAAGGCAAUUAGCAGAGCGACGGGCAUGUGCCCACAUGACAUUGCCACCACUCUACAGCACCUCCACAUGAUCGACAAGAGAGAUGGCAGAUUUGUCAUCAUUAGACGGGAAAAGUUGAUAUUGAGCCACAUGGAAAAGCUGAAAACCUGUUCCAGAGCCAAUGAACUUGAUCCAGACAGUCUGAGGUGGACCCCAAUUUUAAUUUCUAAUGCUGCAGUGUCUGAAGAAGAGCGAGAAGCUGAGAAAGAGGCUGAGCGGCUAAUGGAACAAGCUAGCUGCUGGGAGAAGGAGGAACAAGAAAUCCUGUCAACUAGAGCUAACAGUAGGCAAUCACCUGCAAAAGUACAAUCGAAAAAUAAAUAUUUGCAUUCCCCGGAGAGCCGGCCAGUCACAGGGGAGCGAGGGCAGCUGCUGGAGCUGUCUAAAGAGAGCAGUGAAGAAGAGGAGGAGGAGGACGAGGAGGAGGAGGAAGAGGAGGAGGAGGAAGAGGAAGAGGAUGAAGAGGAGGAAGAAGAGGAGGAGGAAGAAGAAGAAGAAGAAGAAGAAGAAGAAGAAGAAAAUAUUCAAAGCUCUCCCCCAAGAUUGACGAAACCACAGUCAGUUGCCAUAAAGAGAAAGAGGCCUUUUGUACUAAAGAAGAAAAGGGGUCGUAAACGCAGGAGGAUCAACAGCAGUGUAACAACAGAGACCAUUUCAGAGACGACAGAAGUACUGAAUGAGCCCUUCGACAACUCAGAUGAAGAGAGGCCAAUGCCACAGCUGGAGCCUACCUGUGAGAUUGAAGUGGAGGAAGAUGGCAGGAAGCCAGUCCUGAGAAAAGCAUUCCAACAUCAGCCUGGGAAGAAAAGACAAACAGAGGAAGAGGAAGGAAAAGACAAUCAUUGCUUCAAGAAUGCUGACCCUUGUAGAAGUAAGUAGAGGAAUGAUAAAAACCUCACCCUUGAGAAUGUCUGUAUCUGACUGGGUGACAAAGAGCAGGCCUCUGGCAUGAUGCCCAGAGGCACCUGGGAAGUGCUGCUGAGGCACCUGGGAAGUGGUGCUGAUGCACCUGGAGCAAGUGCCCAUCUGCCCUUUCCCAUCCUUACAAGCUUCUCUCCCUUCUUCCUGGAAUUGGAUUUUAUGUUAAACAACUUCUAAGGCCAGAACAUUCCUCUAGGUGGGUUCAUCUUACUUACCAGAAAUUGGCUUAUCCCCAAAAACUUUGAAGUCUGUUGGUAAGAAACACAUUACAUUUCUUUGAUUCUAAUAUGUACUUUUUUUUUUUCACAUUUAGUUAUUUCUGAAAUCAAGGUAUAUAUUAUUAUCAAUGUGAGCAUUGAAUGGAAUCAUUUCUUUUUUCCUGGAAAACAAAUAUUAGUAAAUCAAUAGUACAUCUUAUAAUCAGUAGUGUCGUAGUAUAUACUACUAUAAAGAUUCAUCUAAACUAAGCUGGGCGUGAUGGCUUACACCUGUAAUCCCAGCACUUUGGGAGGCUGAGGCAGGUGGAUCGAUUGAGCCCAGGACUUUGAGACCAACCUAGGCAACAUGGCAAAGCCCCUUCUCUACAAAAAAUACAAAAAUUAAUCAGAUGUAGUGGUGUGCACCUGUAAUCUCAGCACUUUUGGAGACUGAGGCAGUUGGAUCACUUGAGCCCAGGAGUUUGAGACCAGCCUGAGCAACAUGGCAAAACCCCAUCUCCACAAAAGAUACAAAAAUUAGUCAGGAGUGGUGGUGUGCACCUAUGGUCCCAGCUACUUGGGAGGCUGAGGUGGGAGGAUCACCUGAGCUCAGGGUGAGCCAUGAUCGUGCCACUGCACUCCAGCCUGGGUGACAGAAUGAGACCCUUUCUCAAAAAAAC
rnacentral:sRNA from 1 species